rnacentral:sRNA from 1 species
UCCCUAAAAAUCGUCGGAGUUCCCGAACG